AUCUUUGCGCUUGGGGCAAUGACGCAGCUAAUGAGGUACUAACCGAGGCGCGUCUAUUGCUGGUUGAAAACUAUUUCCAAACCCCCUCUUUGGUCUUUUAGGCCUUUGAGAAUUUCUUGAAGGGCUCCCUUCGGGGUAAAGCC
rnacentral:snRNA from 1 species